rnacentral:lncRNA from 1 species
UAAUUCGUAUUCAGCUUUGCCUUGCUAGAUAAACCAAAUAACUAAUAUCCGAGGAAAGAGGUUAUAUCAAGUGUUCCUCGGAAUUUCCUCGGUAUUUCUUAAAAAAAUUAAUAAAAAUCAAUGGUAGUCUGUUUCCGAGUCAUCAUCACCAGAUGAAUCUGAAUUUGGAUCUUGGUGAAACUCUCCAAUCACUGGUUCAUCCUCUACGUGAACGACGGCUUCCUCUCCAAAGCCGGUUAAAUCGACUACAAGGCCAACUCCAGCUAAAUCUUCUGCUGCACUUAAGUUGCCGG